AGCAGCCGCGGUAAUUCCAGCUCCAAUAGCGUAUAUUAAAGUUGUUGCAGUUAAAAAGCUCGUAGUUGAAUUUCGGGAUUUGUCAGUUGGUCGGGCUUCACUGUCCGUAUUGACUUGAUGAAUUCUUACCUUCUGAAUAACUAGCAUGCUAUUAAGUUAGUGCGUUGGGGAAGCAGAUCUAUUACCUUGAAAAAAUUAGAGUGCUUAAAGCGAGCUAGUGCUUGAAUAGAUUAGCAUGGAAUAAUAAAAUAGGACGGCAUGGUUCUAUUUUGUUGGUUUCUAGGAUCACCGUAAUGAUUAAUAGGGAUAGUUGGGGGCAUUAGUAUUCAAUUGUCAGAGGUGAAAUUCUUGGAUUUAUUGAAGACUAACUUCUGCGAAAGCAUUUGCCAAGGAUGUUUUCAUUAAUCAAGAACGAAAGUUAGGGGAUCGAAGACGAUCAGAUACCGUCGUAGUCUUAACCAUAAACUAUGCCGACUAGGAAUCGGACGAUGUUAAUUUUAUAAUGACUCGUUCGGCACCU
rnacentral:rRNA from 1 species